UACGAAGGGUGCAAGCGUUAAUCGGAAUUACUGGGCGUAAAGCGCGCGUAGGUGGUUCAGUAAGUUGGAUGUGAAAUCCCCGGGCUCAACCUGGGAACUGCAUCCAAAACUGCUGAGCUAGAGUACGGUAGAGGGUGGUGGAAUUUCCUAUGUAGCGGUGAAAUGCGUAGAUAUAGGAAGGAACACCAGUGGCGAAGGCGACCACCUGGACUGAUACUGACACUGAGGUGCGAAAGCGUGGGGAGCAAACAGG
rnacentral:rRNA from 1 species